rnacentral:lncRNA from 1 species
CUUUGGUCGGCCCGAGGCUAUAGUAGAAGACACUUGCCCAAGGUACCAUGCAGUGGGACUGAACCCAGAACCAUGUGGUCGGUAAGCAAGCUACUUACCACACAGCCACUCCUGCGCCUAUAUUAUGUAUAUAUGUAUAUACACAAACAUAUUCCAUCAUGCAUUGAAAUAUUUAUCAAUUAAAUUAUUUCUCACGUUUUAUAAUUAUUCAAUAAAAAGCAAAAAAUUAUAAUUUUAAAAUUCAAAAACAGAGAAAAACAAAAAUAAAAUAAAAACUCAACAAAUGCACAACAAUUUGAAAUGAAAUUUAACUAUUUUGAUACCAACCCAACUGUGACCACCCAUAGGUAGGUGAUGCAAACUACUUGUAAAGUGAUCUUAAUUAAAACCUGCCAUUUAGUAAAUUCUGUGUUAGUUUCAAAAUUAAUUGAAACAUCGUCAGUGUAUUUCAUCUCUCUCUAUAUAAACGGCAGUUUGUCUGUCUGUGUGUCUGUCAGGUUGUACCCUCACCCUGACCACGGCUUUCAACCGAAUCUGAUGAAACUUGACACACACAUAGCCCAAUGUCAUAAUUCAAAACUAACGCAGCGAAAAUUUUGAAAAGUUCCCCCAGUUCUGAAAAAAAAUCGAUAAAUUCAACAUGGGGGUCGAGAAUCUAAGCUUUUUAUAUGCAACACAUUUUCCGUCCAGGGGACACAACUCGACCAUUUUAUCGCCCAAAGGGACAGCUAGGAACAUCGUAUACACAGAAGUAUUCGAGUGAAGAGAAGACAUUGCAACCUACACAUGCGCCUUCGUUCCCUAGAGGGAAAGGACUAGAUUGGGAUUAGUCGUUGCCUACUAGGGGCUCUUACACACCCGGGCAACGCCGGGCUAUGCUGCUAGUUAGAAAUAUAAUAAAAACGAAAAGGGUUAAGGUCUGUAUGUAAUAUAGGGACCGUAUUGUUUGUGUGUUUACAACAUGGGUCGCAGAUGGCGUCCCUGAGUACUCUUCAUAUAGACUUUCAGUAGUUGUGGGUGGGUCCGGUUUGGCCAAGUUGGUUGAUUGCUUCUUUGACCCUUUUCAUACCAACCCGCCCGUGACCACCCCCACUGGUCCUAUGACACAAACUCUCUGGUUUAAACCAAAACCUAUCAAAAUUUCAUCUUAAUUUAUAUUCCAAGCAUCAUUUUAAUUAAGCUAUUUUACUAAAUUACUCUUUACUCUUUUACUUGUUUCAGUCAUUUGACAGAGGCCAUGCUGGAGCACCGCCUUUAGUCGAGCAAAUCGACCCCAGGACUUAUUCUUUGUAAGCUUAGUUCUUAUUCUAUCGGUCUCUUUUGCCGAACCGCUAAGUUACGGGGACAUAAACACACCAGCAUCGGUUGUCAAACGAUGUUGGGGGAACACAGACGCACAAACAUAUGUAUAUAUAUAUACACGUAUACGACGAGCUUCUUUCAGUUUCCAUCUACCAAAUUCACUCACAAGGCUUUGGUCGGCCCGAGGCUAUAGUAGAAGACACUUGUCCAAGGUGCCACGCAGUGGGACUGAACCCGAAAACAUGUGGUUGGUAAACAAGCUACUUACCACACAGCCAUUCCUGCACCUAUAUUAUGUGAAAAUUCUCCAUUUAUUCCGAUUCUUUUAUUUGUUGAUUAAAAUUCUGUUAAAGCUAGAAUAAACAAUGGCAUUUGGUUUAUGGUUUAUUUCGUGGCGUCACUGUGGCUGUGACAGAGAGUGAACCUAUGUCUUUCCUGCCCCACCCAGAUUUGCCACUAUAAGGACCCAGAAGUAUACAGAGAGAUGAUCAGAUAUAGGAGAGAGUGUAAUGAGCCGUGACCAAACUGUGACCUUUGAGACUUUUCUGAAUGACAAGGUUAAUUAAAAUUUAUUUUUGGGUUUUUUUUUUUUAGUAGUGUUGCCAGCCUGAUGAAGUGUUUUGCUCAAGGAUAUAACAUAGCGCCCAGUUUGAGGAUUGAAACCAAGAUUAUGCAGUCAUGAGCACAACGUCUUAAUCACUUGGCCAUGUGCCUUCUUUAAGGCUCUGAUGUCUUGUAAAUGUUGGGCUGAAGUUCUUAAAGUAAAGUAUUCUAGAUAUCACUGUCUUCAAUUCCUGGGAGCCAUGGGGCCAGUCACCCAAUUUCCACAGCAUCUGUGUAACCAAGAUCACAAUGUUACCCCAGAUCAGAAAACUAGGCUGUCACAGGGUCACCCACUCACAGCUGAGUAGAAAGGGGCCAAAUAAGAAAUGAAAUGUUUUGCUCAAGAAUACAAUUGGGAAUUGAAACCAAGAUCAUGUGUCCAGUUGUGGGUGUCGUAGGGGUCAGUUUCCAGGGCAUAUAAAUAACUGAAAUCACAACCUUCCCCCCCCCCCUCAACAAGAUGUGGGUUUAUUGCAAGGUUGGGCCAUUGGCUGGAGUGUUUUGCUCAAGAAUAUAAUACAUUGCUUGGUCUGGGAAUUGAAACCAAGAUCAUGCAAUCAAGAGCACAGCACUGUAACCACUAGGCCACAUGGCUUCAUUGAGGUCCAUAUGCCUAGUAAAUGUUGUGUUGAGGCCCUUAAAGUAAAGAAAGUAGUUUUUGGUUUGAAACCAGUGUAUAAAUACGGGACCACUUGAUUUCAAAGCAGUUUGUUAGGGUUCUUCAAAGAGAAGAACUCAUCUCAUAUGUAGAAGAUCAGUUAAUUAGGGGGCAGACAGGGGACUUGUUCUUUCAGAUAAACCCACACACACACACAAAUACACCCCCACACACACACAAAUACACCCCCACACACAAAUACACACACACACAAAUACACCCCACACACACACAAAUACACCCCCACACACACAGACAAUGGUAUAACUGAAAGAAAGCCUUUGUGGGUUGGGUUGGGUUGGGUCAUGACAAUUCGUUCAACAAACCAUUAAAACUUCAUCACAACAACAACAACAAAAUCAUCAACAACAAUAACAACAACAACAGCCUAUUCAGUACAUAACAGUCAAAUCCAUAUAUAAAAAAAAAAAAAGGCAUGAGAGCAUAAACCCUCCACACAUGUUUAAAAUGUCUGUUUUGCAACCAAAAGGUGCUGGGUUCAAUUCUUUAUCAUGACACCGCAUGACUGUUUUUUUUUUUUUUUAAUUCAUUAUAUAGCCUCAGGUGUUAACAAAAUCUCUUGCAAGUAAGAUCUGGUACAUGUAAAAACUGCACGAAGUCUCGUCAUCCUGUCGAAUACAGCUGAGUUUAAUUAUUCCUGCGAGAUGAGAAAAGGGUUGAUCUCUGGAGGAAGAUGGCAAUAGAUUAUACCGGUGAUGUACUAGGGAAAAAGUCUUGAGGAUCUUCCACAGGGGCCACCGGACAUCAAAGAAAUAUAAACUUGACAGUUUAAUUAUUCCUACGAGAUGAGAAAGGGUUGAUCUCUGGAGGAAGAUGGCAAUAGAUUAUACCGGUGAUGCGCUAGGGAAAAGUCUUGAGGAUCUUCCACAGGGGCCACCGGACAUCAAAGAAAUAUAAAGUUGACAGUUUAAUUAUUCCUACGAGAUGAGAAAAGGUUGAUCUCUGGAGGAAGAUGGCAAUAGAUUAUACCGGUGAUGUGCUAGGGUAAAGUCUUGAGGAUCUUCCACAGGGGCCACCGGACAUCAAAGAAAUAUAAAGUUGACAGUUUAAUUAUUCCUGUGAGAUGAGAAAUGGUUGAUCUUUGGAGGAAGAUGGCAAUAGAUUAUACCGGUGAUGCGCUAGGGUAAAGUCUUGAGGAUCUUCCACAGGGGCCACCGGACAUCAAAGAAAUAUAAAGUUGACAGUUUAAUUAUUCCUACGAGAUGAGAAAGGGUUGAUCUCUGGAGGAAGAUGGCAAUAGAUUAUACCAGUGAUGUACUAGGGAAAAGUCUUGAGGAUCUUCCACAGGGGCCACCGGACAUCAAAGAAAUAUAAACUUGACAGUUUAAUUAUUCCUACAAGAUGAGAAAGGGUUGAUCUCUGGAGGAAGAUGGCAAUAGAUUAUACCGGUGAUGUGCUAGGGAAAAAGUCUUGAGGAUCUUCCACAGGGGCCACCAGACAUCAAAGAAAUAUAAACUUGACAGUUUAAUUAUUCCUACGAGAUGAGAAAGGGUUGAUCUCUGGAGAAAGAUGGCAAUAGAUUAUACCGGUGAUGUGCUAGGGUAAAGUCUUGAGGAUCUUCCACAGGGGCCACCGGACAUCAAAGCAAUAUAAACUUGACAGUUCCGCUUAUCAUUUAGGCACUUUCCUCUUUGACUAAACCCUCAUCGACUUUUUCCAAGUUUUUCUUGAAAACGAAAGAGGGGAUGGAGAGGAAAGUGCUGCCUCUCAGAAAAUUUGACGAAAGGUGGAUGAACGUGGCAUAGAUAUUCAAAGAGAACCAGCCUGCUCUAAGCAUGUGAUUGUCCAUUGAGGACGAUGAUGAGCAGGUGCUUCCCCCUGUUGUCAGAGUGGUUGUGGUUUUGUAGGGUUUCCAUGAACAGCCCUCGGAAGUUCCCUUCUUUCGCAGGAACCAUUAUUGUUGAAACUCAUAUUUGCUGGUAUUCUUUUUCAUAUGCUCCUUUACGUAAUCCUACAAGGAACCAUCCUGUACCAUCCCUAGUUUUUUUGUGAACCCUUUAGUGGUUAAAAAGAAAACAGUAUUAUUAUUAUCAUUAGAAUGCUUAAGAAAAUUUUUAUAGUUUUUUCAUCUUUGGUCAGUAAGCGUUAAUUCCUCUUGGGUUCUAUUUAGAAAUCAAAAGAGAUGCCUAUUAUUCCCAUCAAAGUUUGGUUUUGUCACCCAGACAUCAAUGUCUUCAAACUGACCUAUUUCCCAUUACACUUCAGAUUCAGCGCUGAGUUGCUGAGGCAGAAAUAUCGUUACAGCAAAUAUUCUGCUCAAUACCACAGAUUCGUUUGUUGCCUUUGGUCAGUAAGUAUCAUUUCUUAUUGGCUUCUGUCUAGAAAUCAAACGAAAUGACUACUGUUCUAUUCAAACUUUGCUUCUAUCAUUUGUUUUUGGUCAGUAAGUUUUAUUUCCUAUUUGCUUCUUUCUAGAAAUCAAAGGAAACGACUACUAUUCCCUUCAAAUUUUGCUUUUGUCCCCCAAACAUCAAAGUUCUCAAUCUGACCUAUUUUCCAUUACACUUCACACAGAUUCAGCACUAAGUUGCUAAAGCAGAAAUAUCAUUAUAGCAAAUAUUCUGCUCAAUACCACAGAUUCGUUUGAUGCCUUUGAUCAGUAAGGGUCAUUUCUUAUUGGCUUCUGUCUAGAAAUCAAAUGAAAAGACUACUAUUCCCUCCAAACUUUGCUUCUAUCACCCGGGCAUCAAUGUUUUAAACUGACCUCUUUCCCAUUACACUUUAGUGCUGAAUUGCUGAAGCAGAAAUAUCAUUAUAGCAAAUAUUCUGCUCAAUACCACAGAUUCGUUUGUUGUCUUUGAUCAGUAAGGGUCAUUUCUUAUUGGCUUCUGUCUAGAAAUCAAACGAAAUCACUACUAUUCCCUUCAAACUUUGCUUCUAUCACCCGGGCAUCAAUGAUUUAAAACUGACGCAUUUCCCAUUACACUUCAGCACUGAUUUGCUGAAGCAGAAAUAACGUUAUAGCAAAUAUUCUGCUCAAUUUCACAGAUUUGUUUGCUUCAAAACACUGAUGUCCAGGUGACGAAAGCAAUGUUUGAAAGGGAAUAGUAGUCAUUUCCUUUCAUUUCUAAAUAGAAGCAAAUAAGAAAUAGCACUUACUGACCUCAGCCAGAAAAAAAAAAAAAUUUUGUUACAGUAUUAUUAUUAUUAUUAUUAUUAUUGAUAUUAUUAUAUCAUCAUGUCCAUAUAAAGCUGCAGGUGUCCGGGACCCAAUCUGAUCCCACAAUUCACAUGGUAGGGUCCAUCUUUCACAAGGGUUUAGCUAGCAGUCAUGUAUCAAACAUAGCACCAACGAUAGGCACAGAGCGUUGCGGAUCUGAAGAAUCCAGGUUCAAGCUGCAGUGCAAAUGAUGACGAAGAUGAUGAUGAUGACGAUGGUGGUGGUGGUGGUGGUGGUGAUGAUGAUUAAAGCAGCGUUUUUUUUUUUCUUUCUUUUCUGUUUUUUUUUUCUCUCUCUCUCUCUUUUUUUCUUUUUUUCUUUUUUGGUUGUAGCUGAGGCAGAAAUGACGGAGGCGGGGGAGCUGUGGCUGUGCCACCCAACCCCUUCUGAUGACUAUUUGACGGUAGAUCACAUACGUGCAAGUAAGUCAAUAUGUGUGUGUAGGUAUGUGUGUGUGUGUGUGUAUAUAUGUGUGUGAGUGUGUGUGUCUGAAAAGCUGAGUGACAGAUGUAUAGACAUGAUUGUUUGUGUGUAUAAUAUAUAUAUGUGUGCGUGUGUGUGUGUGUAUACAUAUAUGUAUAUAUAUAUAUAUAUAUAUAUAUAUAUAUAUAUGUAUGUAUGUAUAUAUAUAUAUAUAUAUAUAUACAUAUAUGUAUAUAUGUAUGUAUGUAUGUAUAUAUAUAUAUGCGUAUGUAUGAGUAUGUAUACAUAUAUGUAUAUAUAUAUAUAUAUAUAUGUAUGUAUAUAUAUAUGUGUAUGUAUGUGCAUGUGUAUACAUAUAUGUACGUGUGUAUAUGCAUGUAUGUAUACAAUUAUGUAUGUUUGUGCAUGUGUGUAUGCAUGCGUAUAUAUGUGGGUGUGUAUGUGGGGGUGUAUGUGGGUUUGUGUGUUUGUGUUUAUAUUACACACACACACACACACACACAAUAUACAUACAUAUAUAUAUACAUAUAUAUAUAUAUAUAUAUAUAUAUAUAUAAAAUACGCACAUGCCAAUUGACGUAUGCACACAAAACACAUAACGUGUUCAUAUAUCGUAUUGUGCAUAUACACCAAUGUGUGUAUGCGUGUGUGUGUGUGUGUGUGUAUACGUCUGUCCGGGUGUCCUGAGCUGAAUUUGGAAAGUAUUGUGAAAGCCCUGCAGGCAUACAACUGCAACACAGAAGAAGCAAGAGGCAAGUUUUGCAUAUGUGUCAUAUAUGUGGGCUGGGUAUGUAUGCGUCACAUAAUAUAUAUAUACAUACAUAAACAUAUAUAUAUACAUACAUACAUACAUAUAUAUAUAUAUAUAUAUAAAUAUGGUGGUCCUUCACCUCAGUGAUAUUUCCUGUAUCAUUGGUGCAACGAGACAAGUAGUCCUAUACCAGAAACUACAUUUACAUCUGGUCCCCAUAGCUGAUGAGAGGACUUCUCUGUUAAUUUAUCCGUUAUCCUUUUCUGUUCCAUUUUGAUUUUUCAUCAUACAUACAUAUAUAUAUAUGCAUAGUCUUAUAUAUAUGCAUAGUCUUAUAUAUAUAUGCAUAGUCUUAUAUAU